rnacentral:rRNA from 1 species
GAUGAACGCUAGCGGCAGGCUUAACACAUGCAAGUCGAGGGGUAUAGUUCUUCGGAACUAGAGACCGGCGCACGGGUGCGUAACGCGUAUGCAAUCUACCUUUUGCAGAGGGAUAGCCCAGAGAAAUUUGGAUUAAUACCUCAUAGUAUGUGAGAAUGGCAUCAUUUUCACAUUAAAGUCACAACGGCAAAAGAUGAGCAUGCGUCCCAUUAGCUUGUUGGUAAGGUAACGGCUUACCAAGGCUACGAUGGGUAGGGGUCCUGAGAGGGAGAUCCCCCCACACUGGUACUGAGACACGGACCAGACUCCUACGGGAGGCAGCAGUGAGGAAUAUUGGACAAUGGGCGCAAGCCUGAUCCAGCCAUGCCGCGUGCAGGAUGACGGUCCUAUGGAUUGUAAACUGCUUUUGUACAGGAAGAAACACUGGUUCGUGAACCAGCUUGACGGUACUGUAAGAAUAAGGAUCGGCUAACUCCGUGCCAGCAGCCGCGGUAA